ACAAGUUUGAGCCCAUAGCAGAAGCACUCACAGUGUGGCCUGUCAGAUUCCAAAAAAUCUGUGGAUUCUGCU
rnacentral:ribozyme from 1 species